rnacentral:rRNA from 1 species
GACGAACGCUGGCGGCGUGCUUAACACAUGCAAGUCGAACGGAAAGGCCCUGCUUUUGUUGGGUGCUCGAGUGGCGAACGGGUGAGUAACACGUGAGUAACCUGCCCUUGACUUUGGGAUAACAUCAGGAAACUGGGGCUAAUACCGGAUAGGAGCUCCUGCUGCAUGGUGGGGGUUGGAAAGUUUCGGCGGUUGGGGAUGGACUCGCGGCUUAUCAGCUUGUUGGUGGGGUAGUGGCUUACCAAGGCUUUGACGGGUAGCCGGCCUGGGAGGGUGACCAGCCACAUGAGGACUGAGAGACGGCGCAGACGCGUACGGGAGGCAGCGGGGGGGAAUAUGGCAGAGCGGGGGGACGCCUGAUGCAGCAAUGCCGCGUGCGGGAUAACGGCUUUCGGGUUGUAAACCGCUUUCGCCUGUGACGUAGAGUGAGUGACGGUAAUGGGUAAAGAAGCACCGGCUAACUACGUG